CCAAAGGUCCAUCUAGCCCAUUAUCCUGUCUUCCGACAGUGGCCAAUGCCGGAUGCUCCAGAGAGAAUGAGCAAAACAGAUAAUAAUAAAGU